rnacentral:rRNA from 1 species
CUAAGGCCGAUGGCGACCGGCGCACGAGUGAGUAACACGUAUCCAACCUGCCGAUGACUCGGGGAUAGCCUUUCGAAAGAAAGAUUAAUACCCGAUGGCAUAGUUCUUCCGCAUGGUAGAACUAUUAAAGAAUUUCGGUCAUCGAUGGGGUCGCGGCCCAUUAGGUAGUAGGCGGGGUAACGGCCCACCUAGCCCGCGAUGGGUAGCCGGGUUGAGAGACCGACCGGCCACAUUGGGACUGAGAUACGGCCCAGACUCCUACGGGAGGCAGCAUG